rnacentral:rRNA from 1 species
GAUGAACGCUAGCUACAGGCUUAACACAUGCAAGUCGAGGGGCAGCGGGAAGGAAGCUUGCUUUCUUCGCCGGCGACCGGCGCACGGGUGCGUAACGCGUAUCGAACCUACCCUUUACUCGGGAACAGCCUUGCGAAAGCAAGAUUAAUGCCCGAUGUUCCGCGUUUGCCGCAUGGCAAAUUCGGCAAAGAUUUAUUGGUAAAGGAUGGCGAUGCGUCCCAUUAGUUAGUUGGCGGGGUAACGGCCCACCAAGGCUACGAUCAGUAGGGGUUCUGAGAGGAAGGUCCCCCACAUUGGAACUGAGACACGGUCCAAACUCCUACGGGAGGCAGCAGUGAGGAAUAUUGGUCAAUGGACGGAAGUCUGAACCAGCCAAGUAGCGUGCAGGAAGACGGCCCUAUGGGUUGUAAACUGCUUUUAUAAGGGAAUAAAGUGAGUCUCGUGAGACUUUUUGCAUGUACCUUAUGAAUAAGGACCGGCUAAUUCCGUG